UGACCUCAAAUCAGGUAGGACUACCCGCUGAACUUAC
rnacentral:rRNA from 1 species